GCACUGCUGAGGAGUCCCACACUAGGACGAAACGUUCGUUCAGUGU
rfam:Schistosoma curassoni strain Dakar, Senegal genome assembly, scaffold: SCTD_contig0009972